rnacentral:rRNA from 1 species
CCUACGGGUGGCAGCAGUGGGGGAUAUUGCACAAUGGGGGGAACCCUGAUGCAGCGACGCCGCGUGGGUGAAGAAGCGCCUCGGCGCGUAAAGCCCUGUCAGCAGGGAAGAAAAUGACGGUACCUGAAGAAGAUGCCCCGUCUAACUACGUUCCAGCAGCCGCGGUAAUACGUAGGGGGCAAGCGUUAUCCGGAUUUACUGGGUGUAAAGGGGGCGCAGGCGGCGAUGCAAGCCAGGAGUGAAAGCCCGGGGCCCAACCCCGGGACUGCUCUUGGAACUGCGGGGCUGGAGUGCAGGAAGGGCAGGUGGAAGUCGUGGUGUAGCGGUGAAAUGCGGAGAUAUCAGGAGGAACACCGGUGGCGAAGGCGGUCUGCUGGAC